GCGGCGCGGGAGAAAGCAAGACGGAUGGGGGAGGGGGAGGGAGAGGGAGAGAAGACAGCACGCGAAAGGCCGCACCAUGGUCAGUUCACGAGCGGUCGACUACACAGCGCCUCGAAGAACGAGACACAAUGAUCAGGAGCAGAAUAUCAUGGCCACAAACCAAACUCCACCUGGACACUGGCCCUUCUGAAAAUGAACUGCGAAAGCUGCAAGAAUCCAAAGCUAGAACUCACAUUUGUCAACUGGCCUGUCGAGGGGCUCCACGUAGUUGGCUGGGAAGAGUCCGACUCGGCCCGCAAUCUCCCCUUUCCACCAGGAGGCAUCUUCCUUGCUCAAAACAACCAGGAGGUCACCCUUCUGGAAGGACAGCUCGUCUUCUUGUUGCCCGAUGAAGGGAAACAGGGCGCGCACUUGCUCUGUAGAAGGAUUCCCGAUUGGCAUCUGUUACAACAGAUGGCGCCCACACGCAAUGCGCAAUGAAGGAUGCAGUACUAGGAGACAUCACAUCACAUGUAACAAGCUUUGGUUCGUUUCGCACGCAAGAUGGCGGACCUAAGUGCAGCUCUGCUCCCGCGCCACUACUGACGUUGGUGGCAUUGCACCUCAAUGGUGCAUGAGGAGAGACCGACAGAAAACAGUUGGCGCUUGUAGCUUCAUUGCCUCAGACCACUGUAUGCCUCGGGCUGUGGUAUGCAAACAGCAGCUCGGAAGGAAUGCUAGUGUGUGUACAAAAUGCUCAUGCCUGCAGUGGAAGGCAGCACAUUGCCCUGGCUACACUGCAGAUUUGAUUGAGCGGAAUGUGACUGUGCGUCCACUUGGCUUCAUCGUUUUUUGCAGCCAAAUGCCUAACUCUCCUAGCGAGGGCUGCGCAUGCUGCGUCAGUACCGUGAAAGCAUGACAGUGGCAGCGCUAUCCAGCGCAGGCAUGAUAGCGAGAUGCUCAGCUGUGCAUGAACGUGCACCUCGCUUUUGUCAUGUAUAAUAGCAUCGCAAAACAUGCAACGCUGCGUUCAUCCUUUCAGACACAACAUGCAACACCGGGAGUUUGUCCUUUCUGCCGCCAACUAAGCACAGGUGUCCACUUUGCUGCAGCAGCGAAUGAUGAGUGCAUGUCCCCUCCUCUACACAACAUCUAAUUCUCACCUUCUAUCCUCCUCUGCACAGUCCAACCACUACAGCAUCAAAUCCUGCCCAGCCUUACAAAGAGAGCUUUGCUUUUAAUUAAAGGCUGUUCCAUACCAAGCACAUGCUCUGCUCCUCGUGGAUCACCCUGCAUGCACUUUUCUCUGCCCAGUAGAACUCAAUUUGGGAAGUGGGGGAAAAGAAGCCAGACUUCACGCAAGCAAAAU